UACGGGAGGCAGCAGUGGGGAAUAUUGCACAAUGGGCGAAAGCCUGAUGCAGCUAUGCCGCGUGUAUGAAGAAGGCCUUAGGGUUGUAAAGUACUUUCAUCGGGGAGGAAAAAACAAAACUAAUAAUUUUAUUUCUUGACGUUACCCGAAAAAGAAGCACCGGCUAACUCCGUGCCAGCAGCCGCGGUAAUACGGAGGGUGCUAGCGUUAAUCAGAAUUACUGGGCGUAAAGAGCACGUAGGUGGUUUUUUUAAGUCAGAUGUGAAAUCCCUGGGCUUAACCUAGGAACUGCAUUUUGAAACUGAAAUACUAGAGUAUCGUAGAGGGAGGUAGAAUUCUAGGUGUAGCGGUGAAAUGCGUAGAUAUCUGGAGGAAUACCUGCGGCGAAAGCGGCCUCCUAAACGAAUACUGACACUGAGGUGCGAAAGCGUGGGGAGCAAACAGGGAUUAGAUACC
rnacentral:rRNA from 1 species